AAACUCAUACUCUAUUGAUCUUCUUUCCCCCAUCCCUGUCGUUCGCCCGAUGCCCUAGAUCCUCCCCCGUGUCCUCCGCUGCUUCUCUUCCUCCUCCCAGUCCCAGUUACUGCACAAUGGCGUUGGCGUUCGACGAGUUCGGGAGGCCCUUCAUCAUCCUCAAGGAGCAGGAGCAGAAGACGCGGCUGCGGGGGUUGGACGCGCAGAGGGCCAACAUCUCCGCGGGGCGCGCUGUGGCUCGCAUCCUCCGCACCUCGCUCGGCCCUAAGGGCAUGGACAAGAUGCUCCAGAGCCCCGACGGGGACGUCAUCAUCACAAAUGAUGGGGCAACAAUCUUGGAGCAAAUGGAUGUUGACAAUCAGAUUGCAAAGCUGAUGGUGGAAUUAUCUCGUAGUCAGGACUAUGAAAUUGGUGAUGGUACAACUGGAGUUGUUGUUAUGGCUGGUGCUCUUUUAGAACAGGCCGAAAAGCUACUCGAACGUGGCAUCCAUCCUAUUAGGAUUGCUGAGGGUUAUGAGAUGGCCUCCAGGAUUGCUUUUGAGCAUCUUGAGCGUAUCUCUCAAAAGUUUGAAUUCAGUGCGACUGAUAUAGAGCCUUUGGUUCAGACGUGCAUGACAACUUUGUCCUCGAAAAUGUGGAAGAAUAGUUCCCAGAUUCCAAGAGUUGACACCAGAAAAGUUGGGGAAGGCCGGAUUGGUGAGAGAGAAGUCUUUCGGAACAACAAAAGAUCGUAUGCUGUACAUUGAACAGUGUGCAAAUUCCAGGGCUGUAACCAUUUUCAUUCGUGGUGGCAACAAGAUGAUGAUUGAGGAGACAAAACGUAGUCUUCAUGAUGCACUUUGCGUUGCAAGGAAUCUUAUUCGUAACAAUUCCAUAGUUUAUGGUGGUGGCUCAGCUGAGAUCUCUUGCUCUAUUGCUGUUGAUGCUGCUGCAGAUCGAUAUCCUGGAGUUGAGCAGUAUGCUAUCAGGUCAUUAGCUGAAGCUUUAGAUUCAAUACCAUUGGCUCUAGCGGAGAACAGUGGCCUGCAACCUAUUAAUACUCUGACUGCAGUCAAAUCUCAGCAAGUCAAGGAAAACAAUCCGUUCUGUGGCAUCGAUUGCAACGAUGUCGGGACAAAUGACAUGAAAGAGCAGAAUGUAUUCGAGACUUUGAUCGGAAAACAGCAGCAAAUCUUGUUGGCAACACAGGUGGUGAAAAUGAUCCUUAAGAUUGACGAUGUGAUCGCACCAUCCGAUUAUUGAUGUUGUUUGAGAGAGAAGCAUUUGCCAAGUUUUGCGUUCUGGACAGUUUAACUAUCGUCCGAAACUGAAACUGGUCUAAAAGGCCAAGUCGUUAUGUGGUGUUUGGAAAUGUUUGUUGAGCCUGAUAACUGUGCUUUAAGAUCUGAUUUACAUCUCGCUGUGACUGCUUAUAUUGUGCCUUGUUAAUGUAUUGGAGAGUGAAGAACUUUUGGACAAACUGACGAAGAGGAUAGCAGUAAAUGUUUUGUCGAUUAUUUAUGUAUCAACGACGGUGAAGAUUUAAGGUGAGGAAAUCGAUGUGCCGAAUCAAGCAUGUCUUGACCGAGAGAGCAAUUGCCGAGCCUGAUCCUAGGAGGUCUGCGGAGAUGAAGAGGAUGAUUAAUGCGCUUUGAUAUCCUUCGGGAACCCAACCCACUUUAAAUCUUAACUUAGAUUCAGAUAUGUCUUCUGUUGUUUGUACAUUUGCCUGAAGUUAACGACUGCUCUCGUGAAUCGCAUGUGUUUGGGACUCAAUAUAUUUUUGGAAAUGCUUGUUAUGGAAAAUUUGAACCGAAAUAUACUCGAUGCCUUCUAAGAUAUCUGUUCUAUCUACUUUUAGCAGUCUAGCUAGCAUCUAUUUUAUUAA